AACGAACGCUGGCGGCGUGCCUAACACAUGCAAGUCGAGCGCGAAAAGGGCAACCUGAGUAGAGCGGCGCACGGGUGCGUAACACGUGGGUAAUCUGCCUCAAAGUCUGGGAUAACCUUCCGAAAGGUUGGCUAAUACCGGAUAAGCUCACAGGGUCUUCGGAUCUGGUGGGAAAAGGUGGCCUCUAUUUAUAAGCCAUCACUUUGAGAUGAGCCCGCGGCCCAUCAGCAGUUGGCGGGUAACGGCCCACCAAGGCUACGACGGGUAGCUGGUCUGAGAGGACGAUCAGCCACACUGGAACUGAGACACGGUCCAGACUCCUACGGAGGCAGCAGUAGGAAUUUUGCACAAUGGGCGAAAGCCUGAUGCAGCAACGCCGCGUGUGUGAUGAAGGUCUUCGGAUCGUAAAGCACUUUCGACCGGGACCGAACAACCUCU
rnacentral:rRNA from 1 species